CAAGUAUGUAGAUGUCGUUUUGAGAACUGAGUGAAAGGAAGGAGGGUUAGCACCGCCGCCUGGUGUGUGCUGUGAGAAUUAGAGAGAGAGCGAGUAGAGAGCGAAGGGGAAAAAAACGUCCAAGCCAGGAAGAGUGUAUGGCCAUUCCGUGGGAUUUUUUCUGGAAAAACUAAUGCUAAUGAGCAGUUAGAUAAAUUUUGCUCUGUUGAGAUAAACCUUUGGAUUUGCUGGAACUAUUCUUGGUCAGGUUUUUUUGUGAUGUAUGAUUCGACACCAUGCCGGCCCAAAGAUGGCAAGCCACCGCACCAGGAUUCACUGUGAUGACAACUGAGAUCGAAAAGGAAAUUUGGAAGUUCUUUGGGCCCAUUUUCUUUUGAUGUAAAUUCACAGAAGUUUUGUGUGUUACAUAUUAUUGGGUGUAAGUGUGUAAUAACUGUGGGAAGAGUGAGAGGGUGUGUUAAAUUCACUAUAGAUUCAAUACAUGUUAUGCAACUAAA